rnacentral:sRNA from 1 species
UAUAUAAACCCUAUAAAACGUCCAGGGACUAAUAAUGCAAAUAAGGAAGUCUUCUGGGGCAAAUUUUCUCUUCUGUAAACUUGAAAGCGUCAUGGACUUUGUUGGGCCGAAACUGGUGUCGAACGACACUCCUCUUGAUUCUUGAGUCCAAAAUCAUCAUUAGCUUCCCUUUUCCUUAGCUUUUGCUGCAAAAUGUAUCCUCAUUUCCAUUGUUGUCCCACUGCAUAGAAUACCUGAAAAGACACUAAAAAUACUCGAGAAUCAACAUAAAGACUCAAAAUCUUAUACUUAAAACUUAGAUAAAAUCAGUGAAAAUAGGGAUAUAUCAGUAACCCAAGCCGAUUAUGAGAACGCUACGGGGAAAGCCUACAUCGCCUUGGGAGAUAGUUUGCUACAUGCAGUCGUCACCGCACCCGAGCC